UAUGGCCAUAUUGCAUUGAAGCACUGGUUCUUGUAUCAUCAUCAAAGUUAAGCAAUGUUGAGUCUGGUCAGUACUUAGAUAGGUGAUCACUUGGGAAUACCAGGUGUUGUAA